CAGUCGCCGCGGGAAUACGUAGGGUGCAAGCGUUAAUCGGAAUUACUGGGCGUAAAGCGUGCGCAGGCGGUUAUAUAAGACAGAUGUGAAAUCCCCGGGCUCAACCUGGGAACUGCAUUUGUGACUGUAUAGCUAGAGUACGGCAGAGGGGGAUGGAAUUCCGCGUGUAGCAGUGAAAUGCGUAGAUAUGCGGAGGAACACCGAUGGCGAAGGCAAUCCCCUGGGCAUGUACUGACGCUCAUGCACGAAAGCGUGGGGAGCAAACAGGAUUAGAUACUCCCGUAGUCCCUGUCUCUUAUAC
rnacentral:rRNA from 1 species